GAUAAUCAUGGAGUAUAAAAAUUAAAUUUAAUAAAUUUAAUAUAACUAUUAAUAGAAUUAGGUUACUAAUAAAUUAAUAACAAUUAAUUUUAAAACCUAAAGGUAAACCUUUAUAUUAAUAAUGUUUUUUUUUUAUUUUUAUAAUUAAGAAUAAUUAUUAAUAAUAAUAAACUAAGUGAACUGAAACAUCUAAGUAACUUAAGGAUAAUAAAUCAACAGAGAUAUUAUGAGUAUUGGUGAGAGAAAAUAAUAAAGGUCUAAUAAGUAUUAUGUGAAAAAAAUGUAAGAAAAUAGGAUAACAAAUUCUAAGACUAAAUACUAUUAAUAAGUAUAGUAAGUACCGUAAGGGAAAGUAUGAAAAUGAUUAUUUUAUAAGCAAUCAUGAAUAUAUUAUAUUAUAUUAAUGAUGUACCUUUUGUAUAAUGGGUCAGCAAGUAAUUAAUAUUAGUAAAACAAUAAGUUAUAAAUAAAUAGAAUAAUAUAUAUAUAUAAAAAAAUAUAUUAAAAUAUUUAAUUAAUAUUAAUUGACCCGAAAGCAAACGAUCUAACUAUGAUAAGAUGGAUAAACGAUCGAACAGGUUGAUGUUGCAAUAUCAUCUGAUUAAUUGUGGUUAGUAGUGAAAGACAAAUCUGGUUUGCAGAUAGCUGGUUUUCUAUGAAAUAUAUGUAAGUAUAGCCUUUAUAAAUAAUAAUUAUUAUAUAAUAUUAUAUAAAUAUUAUAUAAAGAAUGGUACAGCAAUUAAUAUAUAUUAGGGAACUAUUAAAGUUUUAUUAAUAAUAUUAAAUCUCGAAAUAUUUAAUUAUAUAUAAUAAAGAGUCAGAUUAUGUGCGAUAAGGUAAAUAAUCUAAAGGGAAACAGCCCAGAUUAAGAUAUAAAGUUCCUAAUAAAUAAUAAGUGAAAUAAAUAUUAAAAUAUUAUAAUAUAAUCAGUUAAUGGGUUUGACAAUAACCAUUUUUUAAUGAACAUGUAACAAUGCACUGAUUUAUAAUAAAUAAAAAAAAUAAUAUUUAAAAUCAAAUAUAUAUAUAUUUGUUAAUAGAUAAUAUACGGAUCUUAAUAAUAAGAAUUAUUUAAUUCCUAAUAUGGAAUAUUAUAUUUUUAUAAUAAUAAUAAAAAUAUAAAUACUGAAUAUCUAAAUAUUAUUAUUACUUUUUUUUUAAUAAUAAUAAUAUGGUAAUAGAACAUUUAAUGAUAAUAUAUAUUAGUUAUUAAUUAAUAUAUGUAUUAAUUAAAUAGAGAAUGCUGACAUGAGUAACGAAAAAAAGGUAUAAACCUUUUCACCUAAAACAUAAGGUUUAACUAUAAAAGUACGGCCCCUAAUUAAAUUAUAUAAGAAUAUAAAUAUAUUUAAGAUGGGAUAAUCUAUAUUAAUAAAAAUUUAUCUUAAAAUAUAUAUAUUAUUAAUAAUUAUAUUAAUUAAUUAAUAAUAUAUAUAAUUAUAUUAUAUAUUAUAUUUUUAUAUAUAAUAUAUAUAAUAUAAACUAAUAAAGAUCAGGAAAUAAUUAAUGUAUACCGUAAUGUAGACCGACUCAGGUAUGUAAGUAGAGAAUAUGAAGGUGAAUUAGAUAAUUAAAGGGAAGGAACUCGGCAAAGAUAGCUCAUAAGUUAGUCAAUAAAGAGUAAUAAGAACAAAGUUGUACAACUGUUUACUAAAAACACCGCACUUUGCAGAAACGAUAAGUUUAAGUAUAAGGUGUGAACUCUGCUCCAUGCUUAAUAUAUAAAUAAAAUUAUUUAACGAUAAUUUUAUUAAAUUUAGGUAAAUAGCAGCCUUAUUAUGAGGGUUAUAAUGUAGCGAAAUUCCUUGGCCUAUAAUUGAGGUCCCGCAUGAAUGACGUAAUGAUACAACAACUGUCUCCCCUUUAAGCUAAGUGAAAUUGAAAUCGUAGUGAAGAUGCUAUGUACCUUCAGCAAGACGGAAAGACCCUAUGCAGCUUUACUGUAAUUAGAUAGAUCGAAUUAUUGUUUAUUAUAUUCAGCAUAUUAAGUAAUCCUAUUAUUAGGUAAUCGUUUAGAUAUUAAUGAGAUACUUAUUAUAAUAUAAUGAUAAUUCUAAUCUUAUAAAUAAUUAUUAUUAUUAUUAUUAUUAAUAAUAAUAAUAUGCUUUCAAGCAUAGUGAUAAAACAUAUUUAUAUGAUAAUCACUUUACUUAAUAGAUAUAAUUCUUAAGUAAUAUAUAAUAUAUAUUAUAUAUAUAUUAUAUAUAAUAUAAGAGACAAUCUCUAAUUGGUAGUUUUGAUGGGGCGUCAUUAUCAGCAAAAGUAUCUGAAUAAGUCCAUAAAUAAAUAUAUAAAAUUAUUGAAUAAAAAAAUAAUAUAUAUUAUAUAUAUUAAUUAUAAAUUGAAAUAUGUUUAUAUAAAUUUAUAUUUAUUGAAUAUAUUUUAGUAAUAGAUAAAAAUAUGUACAGUAAAAUUGUAAGGAAAACAAUAAUAACUUUCUCCUCUCUCGGUGGGGGUUCACACCUAUUUUUAAUAGGUGUGAACCCCUCUUCGGGGUUCCGGUUCCCUUUCGGGUCCCGGAACUUAAAUAAAAAUGGAAAGAAUUAAAUUAAUAUAAUGGUAUAACUGUGCGAUAAUUGUAACACAAACGAGUGAAACAAGUACGUAAGUAUGGCAUAAUGAACAAAUAACACUGAUUGUAAAGGUUAUUGAUAACGAAUAAAAGUUACGCUAGGGAUAACAGGGUAAUAUAACGAAAGAGUAGAUAUUGUAAGUUAUGUUUGCCACCUCGAUGUCGACUCAACAUUUCCUCUUGGUUGUAAAAGCUAAGAAGGGUUUGACUGUUCGUCAAUUAAAAUGUUACGUGAGUUGGGUUAAAUACGAUGUGAAUCAGUAUGGUUCCUAUCUGCUGAAGGAAAUAUUAUCAAAUUAAAUCUCAUUAUUAGUACGCAAGGACCAUAAUGAAUCAACCCAUGGUGUAUCUAUUGAUAAUAAUAUAAUAUAUUUAAUAAAAAUAAUACUUUAUUAAUAUAUUAUCUAUAUUAGUUUAUAUUUUAAUUAUAUAUUAUCAUAGUAGAUAAGCUAAGUUGAUAAUAAAUAAAUAUUGAAUACAUAUUAAAUAUGAAGUUGUUUUAAUAAGAUAAUUAAUCUGAUAAUUUUAUACUAAAAUUAAUAAUUAUAGGUUUUAUAUAUUAUUUAUAAAUAUAAUAUAAUAAUUAUUAUUAUUAAUAAAAAAAAUAUUAAUUAUA
rnacentral:rRNA from 1 species